UUCCUACGGGGCGCAGCAGUGAGGAAUAUUGGUCAAUGGGCGCGAGCCUGAACCAGCCAAGUAGCGUGAAGGAUGACUGCCCUACGGGUUGUAAACUUCUUUUAUAAAGGAAUAAAGUGAGCCACGUGUGCCUUAUUGUAUGUACUUUAUGAAUAAGGAUCGGCCAACUCCGUGCCAGCAGCCGCGGUAAUACGGAAGAUCCGGGCGUUAUCCGGAUUUAUUGGGUUUAAAGGGAGCGUAGAUGGGUUGUUAAGUCAGUUGUGAAAGGUUGCGGCUCAAC
rnacentral:rRNA from 1 species